GGAAGUUAAGAAACAGUUUCUUAACUUUUAACUAAAAAAACUAAGAACCGGUUCUUAAAUAAGGACUUUAAGAACCGGUUCUUAGCUUUUUUAGUUAAAAAUUAAGAAACAGUUUCUUAACUUCC
rfam:Brassica napus, WGS project CCCW01000000 data, contig: 7688